AGAUUGAACGCUGGCGGCAGGCCUAACACAUGCAAGUCGAGCGGCAGCACGGGUACUUGUACCUGGUGGCGAGCGGCGGACGGGUGAGUAAUGCCUAGGAAUCUGCCUGGUAGUGGGGGAUAACGCUCGGAAACGGACGCUAAUACCGCAUACGUCCUACGGGAGAAAGCAGGGGACCUUCGGGCCUUGCGCUAUCAGAUGAGCCUAGGUCGGAUUAGCUAGUUGGUGAGGUAAUGGCUCACCAAGGCGACGAUCCGUAACUGGUCUGAGAGGAUGAUCAGUCACACUGGAACUGAGACACGGUCCAGACUCCUACGGGAGCAGCAGUGGGGAAUAGUUGGACAAGUGGGACGAAAGCCUAGAUCCGAGCCAUCGCCGCGUGUGUGAAGUAAGGUCGUUACGGAUUAGUAAAGCUACUUUAAGGUUGGAGGAAGGCAAGUUACCUAAGUACGUAUCGUUGUUUUUACGACGUUAACCGACGAAGUAA
rnacentral:rRNA from 1 species